AUGCUUGCCAGCACGUUGAGCCCCGCGUUCACCCCAGUCGACGGGCCCGCCGCCAUGGCCAGGCACGCGACGCCGCCCCACGAGCUGUGGAUCAUCACGUUCUCCUCGGGCAGUGUCACGGCCGCCCCCGCCCCGCCGGCGAACGCGAACGUCACGCUCGGCACCCGCAUGCCGCCGGUCACGUUGUAG
rnacentral:rRNA from 1 species